GCACGUAGUUAGCCGGGGCUUCUUCUGGAGGUACCGUCACCCUCUGGGGUAUUAACCCGAGUAGCUUCGUCCCUCCUGAAAGAGGUUUACAACCCGAAGGCCUUCUUCCCUCACGCGGCGUCGCUGCGUCAGGCUUUCGCCCAUUGCGCAAGAUUCCCCACUGCUGCCUCCCGUAGGAGUCUGGGCCGUGUCUCAGUCCCAGUGUGGCUGAUCGUCCUCUCAGACCAGCUACGGAUCGUCGCCUUGGUGAGCCGUUACCUCACCAACAAGCUAAUCCGCCGCAAGCUCCUCCUCGACCGAAAGCCGAAGCCAUCUUUUCUAGCGAGCCCGUAGGCUCGACAGGCCAUCCGGUAUUAAUCCGGGUUUCCCCGGGCUAUCCCGGUGUCAAGGGCAGAUCACUCACGUGUUACUCACCCGUUCGCCGCUCUCCCCAUAGCCGAAGCCAUGGUUAUCGCUCGACUUGCAUGUGUUAAGCGCGCCGCCAGCGUUCGUC
rnacentral:rRNA from 1 species